UCAAGGUGGCGUGCCAUAAAGCGUACGGACUGGUCGACGUCGUGAGCAUUCGGUCAUAUCGGGUGGCGUAAGCAUGAGAGGACCUUCCUAGUACGGAAGACCGGAAGGACGUCUGGUGUACAGUUAUCGUGCCCACACGGUAAACGCUGGGUAGCCAGUCGGAGCGGAUAACUGCUGAAAGCAUCUAAGUAGUAAGCCCACCCCAAGAUGAGUGCUCUCCUAUUCCGACUUCCCCAGAGCCUACGGUAGCACAGCCGAGACAGCGACGGGUUCUCUGCCCCUGCGGGGAUGGAGCGACAGAAGUUUUGAGAAUUCAAGAGAAGGUCACGGCGAGACGAGCCGUUUAUCAUUACGAUAGGUGUCAAGUGGAAGUGCAGUGAUGUAUGCAGCUGAGGCAUCCUAACAGACCGGUAGACUUGAACCU
rfam:Citrus clementina cultivar Clemenules unplaced genomic scaffold scaffold_1214, whole genome shotgun sequence.